rnacentral:rRNA from 1 species
UACGUAGGGUGCAAGCGUUAAUCGGAAUUACUGGGCGUAAAGCGUGCGCAGGCGGUUAUGCAAGACAGAUGUGAAAUCCCCGGGCUUAACCUGGGAACUGCAUUUGUGACUGCAUAGCUAGAGUACGGUAGAGGGGGAUGGAAUUCCGCGUGUAGCAGUGAAAUGCGUAGAUAUGCGGAGGAACACCGAUGGCGAAGGCAGGUCUCUGGGCUAUAACUGACGCUCAUGCACGAAAGCGUGGGGAGCAAACAGG